rnacentral:rRNA from 1 species
UUUUUGAUCAUAAUUUAAAGUCUAAUCUGCCCACUGAUAAAAAUUAAAGGGCUGCAGUAUUUUGACUGUACAAAGGUAGCAUAAUCAAUAGUCUCUUAAUUGGUGACUUGUAUGAAAGAUUUGAUGAAAUAUAAACUGUCUCAAUUUAAUUUAUAAAAUUUAAUUUUUUAGUUAAAAAGCUAAAAUUUGUUUAAAAGACGAGAAGACCCUAUAGAGUUUUAUAUUUUAAUAAUUUAUUAUUUUAUAUUAUUUUAAAAAUUUUAAGUUAUUAAAUUAUUUUAUUGGGGUGAUAGAAAAAUUGAACUAACUUUUUUUAAAAUUAAAACAUUUAUUUUUGAAAAUAUGAUCCGUAAAUUACGAUUAAAAGAAUAAAUUACCUUAGGGAUAACAGCGUAAUUUUUUUUUUUAGUUCAAAUAAGAAAAAGAGUUUGCGACCUCGAUGUUGGAUUAAGAUAAAAUUUAAAUGCAAAAGUUUAAAAUUUUUGAUCUGUUCGAUCAUUAAAAUCUUACA